UACAAGUGCUUUGCUGGUCACACCGGG
rnacentral:piRNA from 1 species